rnacentral:rRNA from 1 species
ACGCCAUUUCCCAGUUUCGUAAGAACAGGGGUCUGACGGAGCGGCGUAACGGGUGAGUAACACGUGAGCAACCUGCCCCAAAGACCGGGAUAGCCCAGGGAAACCUGGAUUAAUACCGGAUACCCUCUCGAGACCACAUGGUCAUGGGAGGAAAUGCCUUUGUGCUUUGGGAUGGGCUCGCGGCUUAUCAGCUAGUUGGUGGGGUAACGGCCUACCAAGGCAUCGACGAGUAGCUGGUCUGAGAGGACGAUCAGCCACACUGGAACUGAGACACGGUCCAGACUCCUACGGGAGGCAGCAGCAGGGAAUCUUGCGCAAUGGGCGAAAGCCUGACGCAGCAACGCCGCGUGGGGGAUGAAGGCCUUCGGGUUGUAAACCCCUUUCAGGAGGGAAGAAAUUGACGGUACCUCCAGAAGAAGGACCGGCCAACUACGUGCCAGCAGCCGCGGUAAUACGUAGGGUCCUAGCGUUAUCCGGAAUCAUUGGGCGUAAAGAGCUCGUAGGCGGUUCAGCAAGUCGGCUGUGAAAGUCCGAGGCUCAACCUCGGAAUUGCAGUCGAUACUGUUGUGACUCGAGUCCGGUAGAGGAGAAUGGAAUUCCCGGUGUAGCGGUGAAAUGCGCAGAUAUCGGGAGGAACACCAGUAGCGAAGGCGGUUCUCUGGGCCGGCACUGACGCUGAGGAGCGAAAGCGUGG